ACAGCACCUCGGUGUGGAGAUCUGUCGACACCUAGAUCUCGACAUGCAGCAGGAGGUUGUCCCAUGGAUGGCUAUCGCUCUAGGUCCAGAGGUAGGUCCAGCAGAGGAUACAGACACAGGUCCAGG